UACAGAGGGUGCGAGCGUUAAUCGGAAUUACUGGGCGUAAAGCGUGCGCAGGCGGUUUUGUAAGUCUGUCGUGAAAUCCCCGGGCUCAACCUGGGAAUUGCGAUGGAGACUGCAAGGCUAGAAUCUGGCAGAGGGGGGUAGAAUUCCACGUGUAGCAGUGAAAUGCGUAGAGAUGUGGAGGAACACCGAUGGCGAAGGCAGCCCCCCUGGGUCAAGACUGACGCUCAUGCACGAAAGCGUGGGGAGCAAACAGG
rnacentral:rRNA from 1 species